rnacentral:rRNA from 1 species
AAUUUUAUUUCUGAGAUCUUAUUAGUAGUAUAGUUUGCGACCUCGAUGUUGGAUUAAAAUUUAUUUUUGGUGAAGUAGCUAAAAAAUUAAGUCUGUUCGACUUUUAAAAUUUUACAUGAUCUGAGUUUAAACCGGUGUGAGCCAGGUUGGUUUCUAUCUUUAGAAAGAUUAACUUUAUUAGUACGAAAGGACCAUUAAGU